AAUCUUUAGCAAUGGACGAAAGUCUGACUAUGCGACGCCGCGUGCAGGACGAAGGCUUUAGGGUCGUAAACUGCUUUUGUCAGGGAAGAAACCUUAAUGGUUAAUAGCCAUUAAGCUGACGGUACCUGAGGAAUAAGCCACGGCCAACUCCGUGCCAGCAGCCGCGGUAAUACGGAGGUGGCAAGCGUUACUCGGAAUCAUUGGGUGUAAAGGGCAAGUAGGCGGUCUAUUAAGUGAGGGGUGAAAUCCUGCGGCUCAAUCGCAGAACUGCCUUUCAAACUACUAGACUUGAGAUUGGAAGAGGGAAACGGAAUUAGCAGUGUAAGGGUGAAAUCUGUAGAUAUUGCUAAGAACACCGACGGCGAAGGCAGUCUCCUGGUCCAAUACUGACGCUAAAUUGCGAAAGCUAGGGUAGCAAACAGAAUUAGAUACUCUGGUAGUCCUAGCUGUA
rnacentral:rRNA from 1 species